ensembl:misc_RNA Metazoa_SRP Metazoan signal recognition particle RNA
GCCAGGCGUUGUGGCGUGUGCCUGUGGUCCCAGCUAUUUGGGAGGCUGAGGUGGGAGGAUUGCUUGAGCCCAGGAGGUUGAGGGUGCAGUGAGCUGAGAUCUCGCCACUGCGCUCCAGCCUGGGUGACAAAGUGAGAUCCCGUCUCAA